rnacentral:lncRNA from 1 species
GACGGUUGAGCUGUGCGUUGAAACUGCUGAUUUUGUUGAUAACUCCCACCCUAUCCUCCUGAGCGGAACUGGGAUCCCUGCGGUGAGUUGAAGCGGGGACGGGUGUUGCUACUAGAUUGGCCUUGAGACUGAAAUUUCCUCUUUUGUUCCCCGAGCUCUUUACGUUUACUUUCCAAACCAAUGGCUUUGUCCAACAAAGUUUGGAAGUUAGGAAAUGUGUGACUCUGCAGCUGAUAAUUGAGUGGCCCUAUCAGAC